CGCUGCCCCCGCCCCGCCGGCCCAGCCCCGGAGCCGCGGCGCCCACUGACCCCCGCAGCGGGGGGAGGAGGAGGGACCGAGGCGCAGGAAGCCGAGCAGGAAGCGAGCCCGGCGGCCGCGUUUUCCUGGGGAAGCGGCGGGCGGAGUGGCGCAGCCGGCGGGGCCCGGGAGCCUCCGCCUCGAUGGGGUGUUGAAAAAUCUCUAGAGCUUUGGAAAGCUGAAUGGACUAAACAUGAAGAGCUUGAAAGCCAAGUUCAGGAAGAGCGAUACCAACGAGUGGAACAAGAAUGAUGACCGGCUGCUACAGGCUGUGGAGAAUGGAGAUGCGGAGAAGGUGGCCUCCCUGCUGGGCAAGAAGGGGGCCAGUGCCACCAAGCAGGACAGCGAGGGCAAGACCGCCUUUCAUCUUGCUGCUACGAAAGGGCAUGUGGAAUGCCUCAGGGUCAUGGUGACACAUGGCGUGGACGUGACUGCCCAAGAUACUGCUGGACACAGUGCUUUGCACCUCGCAGCCAAGAACAGCCACUAUGAAUGCAUCCGUAAGCUCCUUCAGUCUAAAUGCCCAGCCGAAAGCGUUGACAGUUCUGGGAAAACAGCUUUACAUUAUGCAGCGGCACAAGGCUGCCUGCAAGCCGUGCAGGCUCUUUGCGAGCACAAAAGCCCUAUAAACCUCAAGGAUUUGGAUGGGAAUAUACCACUGCUGCUUGCAGUACAAAAUGGCCACAGUGAGGUCUGUCGCUUUCUCCUGGACCACGGAGCAGAUGUAAAUUCCAGGGACAAAAAUGGAAGAACUGCUCUCAUGCUGGCUUGUGAGAUCAGCAGCUCUAAUAUCGUGGAAGCCUUAAUUAAAAAGGGUGCAGACCUAAACCUUGUAGAUUCUCUUGGACACAAUGCCUUACAUUAUUCCAAACUCUCAGAAAAUGCAGGAAUUCAAAGCCUUCUAUUAUCAAAAAUCUCUCAGGAUUCUGAUUUAAAGACACCAACAAAACCAAAGCAGCAUGAUCAAGUCUCUAAACUAAGCUCAGAAAGAAGUGGAACUCCAAAAAAACGCAAAGCUCCACCACCUCCUAUCAGUCCUACCCAGUUGAGUGAUGUGUCUUCCCCAAGAUCAAUAACUUCAACACCACUUUUGGGAAAGGAAUCUGUGUUCUUUGCCGAACCACCCUUCAAGCAGGCUGAGGUCAGUUCUGUCCGGGAAAACAAAGACAGACUAAGUGACAGCACUACAGGUGCUGAUAGCUUAUUGGAUAUAAGUUCUGAAGCUGACCAACAAGAUCUUCUUGUCCUGUUGCAAGCAAAAGUCGCUUCUCUUACCUUACACAAUAAGGAAUUACAGGAUAAAUUACAGGCCAAGUCACCCAAGGAGGCAGAAGCAGACCUGAGCUUUGACUCCUACCAUUCCACUCAAACUGACUUGGCCCCACCCCUGGGCAAACCUAGUGACACCUCUCCGCCAGACUCCAAAUCCUCUCCAUCCGUCUUACCACAUUCCUCGAGUAAAUCCACUUGCGACAGCGAUGGCCGAAUUCAGCAACUACAAGAGAUUUUGCAAGACCUGCAGAAGAGACUGGAGAGCUCUGAAGUGGAGAAGCAGCAGCUCCGGGCCGAGCUCCGGUCCAGAAGGGCCGAAUCGGUGUGCGUAAACAGUGCAGAGAUUUCCGAGAAUGGCUCCGACCUCAGCCAGAAACUGAAAGAAACCCAGAGCAAGUACGAGGAGGCAAUGAAAGAAGUCCUCAACGUGCAGAAGCAAAUGAAACUGGGCCUCGUCUCGCCGGAAAGCGUGGACAGUUAUUCGCGUCUCCGAGAGCUAAGGAUCACCGAGGAGGAAGUAGAUGUGCUAAAGCAGGACCUCCAGAAUGCAGUGGAAGAAAGUGAAAGAAAUAAAGAGAAGGUGAGGGAGUUAGAAGAAAAACUUGUAGAGAGGGAGAAAGGUAUGGUCAUCAAGCCUCCCGUGGAAGAAUACGAGGAAAUGAAAAGUUCAUAUUGCUCUGUUAUUGAGAACAUGAAUAAGGAGAAAGCAUUUUUGUUUGAGAAGUACCAAGAGGCCCAAGAAGAAAUCAUGAAAUUAAAAGAUGCCCUAAAGAGUCAGGCAACCCAGGAGGCCGGGGAUGAAGCCGGGGACAUGAAAGAGGCCAUGAACAGGAUGAUAGAUGAACUCAACAAACAGGUGAGCGAGCUGUCCCAGCUGUACAAAGAAGCCCAGGCGGAGCUGGAGGAUUAUAGGAAGAGGAAAUCUCUAGAAGACGUAACGGCCGACUAUAUCCACAAAGCGGAGCAUGAGAAACUGCUGCAAGUGACGAACGUAUCCAGAGCUAAGGCAGAAGAGGCCCUGUCCGAAAUGAAGUCUCAGUACUCAAAGGUGUUGCAUGAGUUGACCCAGCUCAAACAGCUGGUGGACGCCCAGAAAGAGAACUCCGUCUCCAUCACAGAACAUUUGCAAGUGAUAACCACGCUGCGGGCCACCACCAAAGAGAUGGAGGAAAAAAUAAGCAGUCUCAAAGAGCACCUUGCAAGCAAGGAAGGAGAAGUGGCAAGGCUGGAGAAACAGCUCCUAGAAGAGAAGGCCGCUAUGACGGACGCCAUGGUGCCCAGGUCUGCCUACGCAAAGCUCCAGUCAUCGUUAGAAGGUGAGGUGAGUGUGUUGGCCUCAAAAUUGAAGGAUUCGGUAAAAGAGAAAGAGAAGGCCCAUUCAGAGCUUACCCAGAUAAGAAGUGAGGUGUCACAAAUGAAAAGGGAAAAGGAGAAUAUUCAGGCUCUCUUAAAGGCCAAAGAGCAGGAAGCAAAUGAACUUCGUCAACAAUUCCAGGACACUCAGGAAGAACUGGAAGACCUGAAGAGACAGUCGGAGAGCUCUUCCAAACUGGAGGAGGAUAAAGACAAGAAGAUCAACGAGAUGUCGAAGGAAGUCACCAAGUUGAAGGAGGCCCUGAACAGCCUCUCGCAGCUCUCGUACUCCGCGAGCUCAUCCAAGAGGCAGAGUCAGCAGCUGGAAGCACUGCAGCAGCAGGUCAAACAGCUCCAGAACCAGCUGGCUUCAUUACUGUCUCUGGCAGUGGCAAGAACUUUUUCUUAUUAGGGGCCAGGAUCUCUGAUAGGAAUGCAAGAAACAACACCAGGAGGUCAUAUCUGUUUACAGAAUGCAUCUUCUGUACGCUGUGCAGGGCCAGAUGGACGAAGAUGUCCAGAAAGUACUGAAGCAAAUCCUUA